AGUGAACGCUAGUGGCGUGCUUAACACAUGCAAGUCGAACGGACGAUAUUUGUGCUUGCACAAAUAAAGUUAGUGGCAAACGGGUGAGUAAUACAUGAGAAUUUUCCUUGCAGUACGGAAUAACUAUUGGAAACAGUAGCUAAUACCGUAUAUUGCCGAGAGGUGAAAGAUUUAUCGCUGCAAGAUAAGCCCAUGCAAGAUUAGCUUGUUGGUAAGGUAAUGGCUUACCAAGGCUACGAUCUUUAGCUGGUUUGAGAGGAUGAUCAGCCACACUGGGACUGAGACACGGCCCAGACUCCUACGGGAGGCAGCAGUGAGGAAUUUUCCGCAAUGGGCGAAAGCCUGACGGAGCAAUACCGCGUGAAGGAUGACGGCCUAUGGGUUGUAAACUUCUUUUCUCAGAGAAGAAAUUUGACGGUAUCUGAGGAAUAAGCAUCGGCUAACUCUGUGCCAGCCGCCGCCGUAACAC
rnacentral:rRNA from 1 species